UCAUCUGCGGUCAAUAAAAUCAGCCACGCUCUGCGAUCCCGCACAUAUUUCAAUUUAGUUGAUGUUUUUUAUUUUUGGAGCCAGUAUGAACAAAUAACUUCCCUUUCAGAUAAACAAUACAGUAACUGCUCGUACAAUAGAUGGCUGCUGCUUAUCAACAUGGAACUGGACUGCGGGAAUUGUUAUCCAGCACAAAAAAGAAAUAUGGCUUGGCUGGCAUCCGAUUUCGAAACUCAGUUGCUUUGCUCAUUCAGUGACCACAUUUGUAUUUAUAAAAACAAUUUUCUUGUUCCUUAUAUCAAGAACGCAUUUUGAUGACUAAUCAAUGACUAAUUGUUUUACAUAAAGACUAAAGGAGCGGUAAUAAAAUAUGUACUAAGCUUA